UCAUCGGUGAUGUCAUCGGUGAGGUCAUCGCCUGGGCGGCCGGGUUCCUUGAGGGCGGCAGGGGGCUGCCCCUCCCCCGCACUGACGUCACCCGUGACGUCGCCCCCGGCGCUGAUGUCACCCGUGACGUCACCCCCAGCUGUGACGUCAUCCUCGGCGCUGACGUCAUGCAUGACGUCACCCUCGGCACUGACGUCACGGCCAGCGGGGGCUCCCGGGGGGAAGGAGGUGACAUCGACGCCCGGGAUGGCACCAAGUUCCGCCCCCCACGUGACAUCAUCGGUGACGUCACCCUCCAGAGCGAUGUCAUGCCCGGCACCGCCCCCCGGGGUGAAGGAAGUGACGUCAUCGUCAAGCGUGACGUCAUCGAUGGCGUCGUUCCAAGCAGCGGCGCCACCUCCGGCGGUGUCCCCAGGGAAAAAGGAAGUGACGUCAUUCGCGCCGGUGACGUCAUCGGCGAGGUCAACAUCCGGCUUAACCUCUCGGCCAGCCGCCCCUCCCGGCAGGGAGGAAGUGACGUCAUCCUUGACGUCAUCCUUGGCGAUGACGUCACCAGCGAGAAGAGCCCCAGGUGCAGAAGGAGCGACGCCUUCCCCCCCGAUGACGUCAUCGGUGAGGUCACCGCUGGGGAUGACGUCACCAGCUGUGACGUCAUCGGCACGGGCGUCCCUGGCGGGGGAGGGAAGGGCCCUGCUGAUGAUGUCAUCGGUGAGGUCAUUUGCGGGCAUGACGUCACCAAUGAGCUCCUCCCCAGGAAGGGAGGAAGUGACGUCAUCACCCCUAAAGAUGUCCCCACCAAUGACGUCAUUACUUCCAGGGAUGGCGUCAUUGCUUCCGGGGAUGACGUCAUUACUUCCAGUGAUGACGUCAUCACUUCCAGGGAUGACGUCACCCCCAAAGACGUCCCCGCCCAUGACGUCACCACUUCCCGGGAUGACGUCAUCGAUUCCCGGGAUGACGUCACCCCCAAAGAUGUCCCUGCCAAUGACAUCAUCGCUUCCGUGGAUGACAUCAUCACUUCUGUGGAUGACGUCAUCGCUUCCAGGGAUGAUGUCACCGGCGACGUCAUCCCCGGGGAAGGAGGAAAUGACAUCAGCCAUGGCGAUGAUGUCGCCGGUGAGGUCAUCUUUGCUGCUGACGUCACGGCUGACGUCGCCCCCGGCCACCAAGGAAGUGACGUCACCGUCAGCCUCGGGGACAGCGGAGGGGCCGCCCCCGCCCGCGAUGACGUCGCCGGGGGGAGCAGCGGUGACGUCAGCGGUGGUGACAUCAGCAGUGACGUCAUCGCCGGGGACGUCCUCGUCCUCCGCCGGGGGGGCCGUCACCGUGAUGGUGAUGCCACCAGCGGCGCACGUGUCCCCGAUGUCCCCAUUGUCCCCAACCCCAAUGACCCCAAUGUCCCCAACCCCAAUGUCCCCGACCCCAAUGUCCCCGACCCCAAUGUCCCCAACGUCUUUGACCCCGAUGUCCCCAACGUCCUUGACCCCGAUGUCCCCAACGUCCCCGAUGUCCUCGUCGGCCGGCGCCGCGGUGACGGUGAUGGUGAUGCCACUGGCCCAGGGGGUGACGGUGACCGCGGGGACACCGGGGGUGGCCCCGUCCCCCUCGGGGACCCCCCCGGGCUGUCCCCAAGGAGGUCGGGGACCCGCUGUGGGGCCGGCGGUGACGUCCCCGCUGGUGGCCACCGCUGUCACCUCCCCGGGGAGGGGACACGGGGGGGUGGCGUGCGAGCCCCCCUCGGCCAUGGGGCAGGGACCUAGGGGGGGGACAGAGGGGACGGGGACGUCACGGGGGUGGUGGCACAGGGACGGGGGGACCCCAAUAGGGACAGGGGGACCCCAGGAGGGACCCCAAAAGAGUCGGGGGGACCCCAAUAGGGACAGGGGGACCCCAAGAGGGACGGGGGGGACACGGGGACAGGGGGACCCCAAUAGGGACAGGGAGACCCUGAUAGCGAUGGGGGGACCCCAAUAGGGACAGGGCACCCCAAGAGGGACGGGGGGACACGGGAGGGACCCCAAUAGGGACAGGGGGACCCCAGGAGGGAUGGGGGGACCCCAAUAGGGUUGGGGGGGACACAGGAGGGACAGGGGGGACCCCAAUAGGGACAGGGGACACAGGAUUUGGGGGGGGGAUAAGGACAGGAGGGGGACACGUGGUGGGGUCCUGGGUGUACCUGACGCCCUGAGGGCCGCUUUCGGGGUCCCAAGGCCGAUUUCGGGGUCCUGAGGCCGAUUUUGGGGUCCAAAAACAGGAUUUCAGGUCCCGGUGCUGUUUUUUUUUAGGAUCCUGUUGGGAUUCGGGGGGUCCUGGCGCUGCUUUUGGGGUCCUGCUGCGGGUUUACAACAUCCCGGGGGUGGUUUUGGGGUCCUGCUGCGGGUUUUGGGGUCCUGGAGCCACUUUUGGGGUGUCCCCUCAGGCUCCCGGGGCCGCUUUUGGGGUCCGCAUCACAACAUCAGCGCCGGAGCUGCCGCUUUUGGGGUAAAAUAUCCAGGUUUGGGGUCCUGGUAUUGGGCUGGGGGCUUACAGGCUCCUGGUGCUGCUUCUGUGGUCCCAAUCCAGAUUUUGGGGUGCCGUUUUCGGGGUGCAGCUUUUAGGGUCCCUGUUUUAGGGUUGCAGACCGUCGGAGGAUCCCGGCGCUGGUUUCGGGGUCCCGGAGCCGGUUUUGGGGUGCCCCGACCGCGUUCAAAAUCCCAGCGUCAGUUUCGGGGUCCUGGGGUCCUGGUCCUGGUCCUUUUUUGGGGUCCUGGUCCAACUUUUGGGGUGCCACGGCCAGUUUUGGGGUGCCAAAAGCCCCUUUUGGGGUUCUUCAGCGCCUUUUGGGGUCCUGGUCCCACUUUCGGGGUCCCUCAGCGCCUUUUGGGGUUCUCCAGCCCCUUUUGGGGUCCCGGUCCCACUUUCAGGGUUCCUCAGCCCCUUUUAGGGUUCUUCAGCCCCUUUUGGGGUCCUGGUCCCACUUUUGGGGUUCUUCAGC
rnacentral:lncRNA from 1 species